UGGGGAAUUUUGGACAAUGGGCGCAAGCCUGAUCCAGCAAUGCCGCGUGUGUGAAGAAGGCCUUCGGGUUGUAAAGCACUUUUGUCAGGGAAGAAAAGGACCCCACUAAUACUGGAGUCUGAUGACGGUACCUGAAGAAUAAGCACCGGCUAACUACGUGCCAGCAGCCGCGGUAAUACGUAGGGUGCAAGCGUUAAUCGGAAUUACUGGGCGUAAAGCGUGCGCAGGCGGUUUGUUAAGACGGAUGUGAAAUCCCCGGGCUCAACCUGGGAACUGCAUUCGUGACUGGCAAGCUAGAGUAUGGCAGAGGGGGGUGGAAUUCCACGUGUAGCAGUGAAAUGCGUAGAGAUGUGGAGGAACACCGAUGGCGAAGGCAGCCCCCUGGGCCAAUACUGACGCUCAUGCACGAAAGCGUGGGGAGCAAACAGGAUUAGAUACCCCCGUAGUCC
rnacentral:rRNA from 1 species